AUGGCGGAGAAAGGAGGUGAAUCCGGCGGCGGCGGCCGCGGCCUAAAGGGGGAAGUAGGAAGAAAGAGAGGGGGGAUUUCCGUGCGCAUAACAGCCGACAGGGAGCCGCAAUAUGCCACGCCCCGGUCACCGAGCGCCAUCGCGCAGCCGCGGCGCGCUUCGCGUACUCCGCCCCGCGCCUCGCCCCCGCGGAGAUCUCGUCCCUCACCUCAGCGCACGCCGGCCACCGCCCCGCCAAGGACGAGCGGCGGUACCGAUACUGAUUGCUCCCAGAACGGGAGAUCGGUUCCAGAUAGGUCGAGAAAGAGGCAAGGGACGGCCGCUCUGGAUCAUGUCUACCCCAGUACGAGCGGCCGUACCGGGAGCUCCAAGAACAGGAGAUCGGUUAAAGACUACUCCAAAAACAUGAGGAUAGAUAACCUGGAUCAUUCAAGAACACCAAGUCUAGCUCCAAGGCGCCUUAGCUUCGAAGAAGAAGAACAGUGCGGUGUGUCCCCUGAAAACAUAAAUAGAGAGGUUGGCGUGUCAAAGAAUGACGUUCCUGCAAGAGAUAUGAUGGUCGGUGUUGAUUUGGAACGUCAAACCAUCUUGCCCAAAAUUUUUGGAUCCAGUGAGGUAAAGCAGCUGCUGCAUUCUAUCGAGAAGAUCAGUGAAUCGACAAGUAAUGGCAAGAACGACAAGGAUUUCCCUACAAGAAUGAAAACAUCUUUGGAAGCUUCAAAAGGUCGCAGGAAAUUAUCUAUGGAAGGGCCAAAAAAUCCAGGUGCAUUGAUAUGGCAGAAUGGAGAAAGUUCCUCCCAACCAGUGCUAGGGACUCUCAGUGUUGACUUGGAACAUCAAAUCAUCUUUCCCAAAAAAGGUGGAUCCAUUGAGGUAAAGCAACUGCAGAAUUCUGUUGAGAGGAUCAGCGAAUCGACAAGUGAUGACAAGAAGGAUCAGGAUUGCCCUACAAGAAUGUGCCUUAGCUUUGAGGAAGAAAAACAGUGCUAUGCAUCCCCUGAAAAGACGAUUAGAGAGGUUGAUGUACCAAGGAAUGGUGUUUCUGCAAGAGAUAUUGAGGUAAAACACCUGCUGAAUUCUAUCGAGAAGAUCAGUGAAUCGACAAGUAAUGCCAAGAAGGACAAGGAUUUCCCUAUAAGAAUGAAAACAUCUUUGGAAGCUUCAAAAGGUUGCAGGAAAUUAUCUAUGGAAGGGCAGUGGCCAAAAAAUGCAGGUGCUCAGUUGAUAUGGCAGAAUGGAGAAAGUUCCUCCCAACCAGUGCUAGGGACUCUCAGUGUUGACUUGGAACAUCAAAUCAUCUUUCCCAAAAAAGGUGGAUCCAUUGAGGUAAAGCAACUGCAGAAAUCUGUAGAGAAGAUCAGCGAAUCGACAAAGUAG
rnacentral:rRNA from 1 species